UACAGAGGGUGCGAGCGUUGUUCGGAAUUAUUGGGCGUAAAGGGCGCGUAGGCGGUGCGGUAAGUCACCUGUGAAAUCUCCUGGCUCAACUGGGAGCUUGCAGGCGAAACUGCCGUGCUGGAGUGUGGGAGAGGUGCGUGGAAUUCCUGGUGUAGCGGUGAAAUGCGCAGAUAUCAGGAGGAACACCGGUGGCGAAGGCGGGUCUCUGGGCCGAUAUUGACGCUGAGGAGCGAAAGCGUGGGGAGCGAACAGG
rnacentral:rRNA from 1 species